rnacentral:rRNA from 1 species
UAUGGUUGUGUGCCAGCAGCCGCGGUAAUACGGAGGAUGCGAGCGUUAUCCGGAUUUAUUGGGUUUAAAGGGAGCGCAGACGGGUCGUUAAGUCAGCUGUGAAAGUUUGGGGCUCAACCUUAAAAUUGCAGUUGAUACUGGCGUCCUUGAGUGCGGUUGAGGUGUGCGGAAUUCGUGGUGUAGCGGUGAAAUGCUUAGAUAUCACGAAGAACUCCGAUUGCGAAGGCAGCUCACUGGAGCGCAACUGACGCUGAAGCUCGAAAGUGCGGGUAUCGAACAGG